GAUGAACGCUGGCGGCGUGGAUAAGGCAUGCAAGUCGAGCGGAGAGAGGUAGCUUGCUACUGAUCUUAGCGGCGGACGGGUGAGUAAUGCUUAGGAAUCUGCCUAUUAGUGGGGGACAACAUUUCGAAAGGAAUGCUAAUACCGCAUACGUCCUACGGGAGAAAGCAGGGGAUCUUCGGACCUUGCGCUAAUAGAUGAGCCUAAGUCGGAUUAGCUAGUUGGUGGGGUAAAGGCCUACCAAGGCGACGAUCUGUAGCGGGUCUGAGAGGAUGAUCCGCCACACUGGGACUGCGACACGGCCCAGACUCCUACGGGAGGCAGCAGUGGGGAAUAUUGGACAAUGGGCGGAAGCCUGAUCCAGCCAUGCCGCGUGUGUGAAGAAGGCCUUAUGGUUGUAAAGCACUUUAAGCGAGGAGGAGGCUACUUUAGUUAAUACCUAGAGAUAGUGGACGUUACUCGCAGAAUAAGCACCGGCUAACUCUGUGCCAGCCGCCGCGGUAA
rnacentral:rRNA from 1 species